rnacentral:rRNA from 2 species
GCGUGAGUGAAGAAGGUCUUCGGAUCGUAAAACUCUGUUGUUAGAGAAGAACACGAGUGAGAGUAACUGUUCAUUCGAUGACGGUAUCUAACCAGCAAGUCACGGCUAACUACGUGCCAGCAGCCGCGGUAAUACGUAGGUGGCAAGCGUUGUCCGGAUUUAUUGGGCGUAAAGGGAACGCAGGCGGUCUUUUAAGUCUGAUGUGAAAGCCUUCGGCUUAACCGGAGUAGUGCAUUGGAAACUGGAAGACUUGAGUGCAGAAGAGGAGAGUGGAACUCCAUGUGUAGCGGUGAAAUGCGUAGAUAUAUGGAAGAACACCAGUGGCGAAAGCGGCUCUCUGGUCUGUAACUGACGCUGAGGUUCGAAAGCGUGGGUAGCAAACAGGAUUAGAUACCCUGGUAGUCCAC